rnacentral:sRNA from 1 species
UGCCGCCACUGGAACCGGGAGAUGCGGCGUAGGAGCUGUCGCUGUGUUUGCUUUAACCUGAGUCUUGUUCCUUAUUGUGGUUGCUGCUGCGGUUUUGAUCAUGUUGUUACCCUCGGACGUAGCCCGGCUUGUAUUGGGUUACUUACAGCAAGAAAACCUCAUUUCUACCUGCCAGACUUUUAUUUUGGAAAGUUCAGAUUUAAAAGAAUAUGCAGAACAUUGUACAGAUGAAGGGUUUAUUCCAGCCUGCUUACUGUCCUUAUUUGGAAAAAAUUUGACAACAAUUUUAAAUGAGUAUGUAGCUAUGAAAACAAAAGAAACAUCAAACAAUGUCCCAGCAAUAAUGUCAUCUCUAUGGAAGAAAUUGGACCAUACACUUUCUCAGAUCAGGAGCAUGCAAAGUUCCCCAAGGUUUGCUGGCAGUCAGAGAGGUUUCAGCCCGAACGAGAACUGGAAUUGCAGAAAUCAAACGGCAGAGAAAGCUUGCAUCUCAAACAGCUCCAGCCAGUGCAGAGUUGCUCACUUUACCUUACCUUUCAGGACAGUUUACCACUCCUCCUUCCACAGGUACACAGAUUACUCGACCAAGUGGCCAAAUUUCAGAUCCAUCGAGGUCAUAUUUUGUAGUGGUCAACCAUUCACAGUCACAAGAUACUGUAACCACUGGAGAAGCUUUAAAUGUCAUUCCUGGUGCUCAGGAAAAGAAAGCACAUGCCAGUUUAAUGUCUCCCGGUAGACGCAAAAGUGAAUCUCAGAGAAAAAGUACCACUUUGUCUGGCCCUCAUUCAACAAUACGGAAUUUCCAAGAUCCAAACGCUUUUGCAGUAGAAAAACAAAUGGUUAUUGAAAAUGCACGAGAAAAAAUACUAAGCAACAAAUCCCUUCAAGAAAAGCUAGCAGAAAACAUAAAUAAAUUUUUAACUAGUGAUAACAAUAUUGCCCAAGUACCUAAGCAAACAGAUAACAACCCUACGGAGCCCGAGACUUCAAUUGAUGAAUUCCUAGGACUUCCGAGUGAAAUUCACAUGUCUGAAGAAGCUAUACAGGACAUAUUGGAACAGACAGAAUCAGACCCAGCAUUUCAGGCACUCUUUGAUCUCUUUGACUAUGGUAAAACAAAGAAUAAUAAAAAUAUAUCACAAAGUAUUUCCAGUCAACCUAUGGAAUCCAAUCCCAGUAUAGUCUUAGCAGAUGAAACUAAUCUAGCAGUUAAAGGUUCUUUUGAAACAGAAGAAUCUGAUGGUCAGUCUGGUCAGCCCCCAUUUUGUACAUCCUAUCAGAAUGAUGACCCAUUAAAUGCUUUGAAGAAUAGCAACAACCAUGAUGUGCUUAGACAAGAAGACCAGGAAAAUUUUUCCCAAAUAAGUGCCAGCAUACAGAAAAAGGCCUUUAAAACAGCUAUACCCACUGAACAGAAAUGUGACAUUGACAUUACCUUUGAGUCCGUGCCUAAUUUGAAUGACUUUAACCAAAGAGGGAAUUCUAAUGCUGAAUGUAAUCCACAUUGUGCUGAAUUAUACACCAAUCAGAUGUCCACUGAAACUGAAAUGGCUAUAGAGAUUGAAAAGAACUCUUUGUCUUCAAAUGUACCGAAUGAAUCUCAAUUACAGCCUGAUCAGCCUGAUAUACCAAUAACUUCAUUUGUUGCACUUGGUUGUGACGCUAACAAUGAAAACUUAAUUCUCUCUGGGAAAAGUUCUCAACUUUUAUCCCAAGAUACUUCAUUAACUGGAAAGCCAUCUAAAAAAAGUCAAUUUUGUGAAAAUUCUAAUGAUACAGUAAAACUUAAAAUUAAUUUUCAUGGUUCCAAGUCACCAGAUUCUAGUGAAAUUCACAAGAGUAAAAUAGAAAUUAAUGUGUUAGAACCAGUUAUGUCACAGCUAUCAAAUUGCCAAGAUAAUUCUUGUCUUCAAAGUGAAAUACUACCUGUGUCUGUUGAAAGUUCACAUUUAAAUGUAUCCGGACAAGUAGAAAUUCAUCUUGGAGAUUCGCUGUCUUCUACUAAACAACCAUCUAAUGAUUCAACAUCUGUUGAGUUAAAUCAUACAGAAAAUGAAGCUCAGCCAUCCAAGUCUGAGAAUUCACAGGAGCCUUCAUCUUCUGUAAAAGAAGAGAAUACUAUUUUUCUCUCUUUAGGUGGAAAUGAUAACUGUGAGAAAGUUGCACUGACACCCCCAGAAAGCACUCCUGUAGAAAACAGUCACUCUCUUCCUCCAGAAUCUGUGUGUUCUUCAGUGGGAGACUCUCACCCUGAGUCCCAAAAUACUGAUGAUAAACCUUCUAGCAACAACUCAGCAGAGAUAGAUACAUCAAAUAUCGUCUCUCUCAAAGUUAUCAUUAGUGAUGAUCCAUUUGUUUCCUCAGAUACUGAACUUACCAGUGCUGUUUCUAGUAUUAAUGGAGAAAACCUGCCAACUAUAAUCUUGUCUUCUCCUACUAAAUCACCUGCUAAAAAUGCAGAACUAGUUAAAUGCCUGUCUUCAGAAGAAACUGUAGGUGCUGUUUUAUAUGCUGAAGUAGGGGAUUCAGCCUCAAUGGAACAGAGUCUUUUAGCAUUCAAAUCUGAAGACUCUGCAGUAAACAACACUCAGAAUGAAGAUGGCAUUGCUUUUUCAGCUAAUGUUACACCAUGUGUUUCCAAGGAUGGAGGAUAUAUACAGUUGAUGCCAGCCACAAGCACAGCUUUUGGCAAUUCAAAUAACAUUCUGAUAGCUACCUGUGUGACUGAUCCAUCAGCGUUAGGAACAUCUGUAAGUCAGUCUAAUGUUGUGGUGUUGCCUGGAAAUUCUGCACCUAUGACUGCUCAACCUCUACCACCUCAGUUACAGACACCACCAAGGUCAAACAGUGUAUUUGCUGUCAACCAAGCUGUGUCACCAAACUUUUCACAAGGUAACGUUAAUAACAUAAUUGAAAUUUGUUUCUCUGGGUUGGGAUCUAAUUUCUUUUGUAUGUGAUGUUAUUGACUGGGAAGUAAUAACUCAUGGGUAGAUGGUAUGAGAAGAUUCUGAAAUUUGUGAUUACGCUGCUUCUUUAUGCUAGCUAAUUAAAGCCUUUUUUUUUUCUUAAUCUGCUAGUAAGCUAUGGGCUUUAGUGGUUUUUCUUUUUUCUUUUUUCUUUUCACAGAUACUUCUCAAUCUAUGUGCUAGUAAGUUACAAGAAACAGAAAAGACAGACUAAUUCAUCACAUAGUUGUAUAAAACCCAAUGUUGUGGGGGAGUUUUUAAAAAUAGCUCUUAUAGUCAUGGUCUUCAGGGAAUUUAUCAUCUAUUUGGAGAAAUUUUCAAGAAAAACUUGAAUUUUGGCCAGUUGUGGUGGCUCACACCUGUAAUCCCAGCACUUUGGCAGGCCGAGGUGGGCCGAUCACCUGAGGUCAGGAGUUUGAGACCAGCCUCGCCAACAUGGUGAAACCCCAUUUCUACUAAAAAUACAAAAAAAUGAGCCAGGCAUGGUGGCAGGCGCCUGUAAUUCCAGCUACUUGGGAGGCUGAGGCAGGAGAAUCUCUUGAACCCAGGUGAACUCAGGAGACAGAGGUUUCAGUGAGCCAAGAUCAUGCCAUUGCACUUCAGCCUGGGCAACAAGAGCGAGACUCCGUCUCAAAAAAAAAAACCAAAAACUUGAAUUUCUUCCUUUAUAAAAUCCUUUCUAAUUUUUCACUGCCUUUCACCUUCUAGAAUUGAUCUCUGUCUUUAAAAUCCUUUGUUUAUGGCUGGGCUCAGUGGCUCAUGCCUGUAAUCCCAGCACUUUGGGAGGCCGAGGUAGACAGAUCACCCGAGGUCAGGAGUUCGAGACCAGCCUGGCCAACAUGGUGAAACCCCGUAUCUACUAAAAAUACAAAAAUUGGCAUGGUGGUGGGCACCUGUAAUCCCAGCUACUUGGGAGGCUGAGACAGAAGAAUCACUUGAAGCUGGGAGGCAGAGGUUGCAGUGAGCCAAGAUCGCACCACUGCACUUUAGCCUCGGCGACAGAGUAAGACUCUGUCUCAAAAAAAAAAA